GGUAAUGGCCUACCAAGGCGACGAUCCAUAGCUGGUCUGAGAGGAUGAUCAGCCACACUGGGACUGAGACACGGUCCAGACUCCUACGGGAGGCAGCAGUGGGGAAUAUUGGACAAUGGGCGCAAGCCUGAUCCAGUCAUGCCGCGUGAAUGAAGAAGGCCUUAGGGUUGUAAAGUUCUUUCAGUGGUGACGAUGAUGACGGUAGCCACAGAAGAAGCCCCGGCUAACUCCGUGCCAGCAGCCGCGGUAAUACGGAGGGGGCAAGUGUUGUUCGGAAUUACUGGGCGUAAAGGGCGCGCAGGCGGCGUCGCCAGUCAGGUGUGAAAUCCCCGGGCUCAACCUGGGAACUGCACUUGAUACUGCGAUGCUAGAGUUCGGAAGAGGGUAGUGGAAUUCCCAGUGUAGAGGUGAAAUUCGUAGAUAUUGGGAAGAACACCAGUGGCGAAGGCGGCUACCUGGUCCGAUACUGACGCUGAGGCGCGAAAGCGUGGGAAGCAAACAGGAUUAGAUACCCUGGUAGUCCACGCCGUAAACGAUGUGUGCUAGCCGUUGGGAAACCUAGUUUCUCAGUGGCGCCGCUAACGCUUUAAGCACACCGCCUGGGGAGUACGGCCGCAAGGUUAAAACUCAAAGGAAUUGACGGGGGCCCGCAC
rnacentral:rRNA from 1 species